rnacentral:rRNA from 1 species
UUCGUAGGGGGCGAGCGUUGUCCGGAAUUACUGGGCGUAAAGGGUGCGUAGGCGGCCUUAUAAGUCAGAUGUGAAAUACCGAGGCUUAACUUCGGGGGUGCAUUUGAAACUGUAGGGCUUGAGUGCAGGAGAGGAAAGUGGAAUUCCUAGUGUAGCGGUGAAAUGCGUAGAGAUUAGGAGGAACACCAGUGGCGAAGGCGGCUUUCUGGACUGUAACUGACGCUGAGGCACGAAAGCGUGGGUAGCGAACAGGAUUAGAUACCCUGGUAGUCCACGCCGUAAACGAUGGAUACUAGGUGUAGGGGGUAUCGACCCCCCCUGUGCCGGAGUUAACGCAAUAAGUAUCCCGCCUGGGGAGUACGUGCGCAAGCAUGAA